UUUUUUUUUUUUUUUUUUUUUUGAGACCAGGACAGCCCAGGCAUUACAGCUUAGGUGAGUUUUGAAUUUGUUAUGUUGCUGAGGCUGACCUAGAACUUCUGAUACUUCUGCCUUCACCUUUCAGGUGCUGGCAUUACAGACUGUGCUGGGGGUGGACCCUAAAGCUUCAUGGAUGCUAGGCAAGCACUCUACCAGUUGGAUUUCUGAGUUCGAGGUCAGCCUGGUCUACAGAGUGAGUUCCAGCAUAGUCAGGGCCAUACAGAGAAACCCUGUCUCGAAAAACCAAAACCAAACAAAAACAAAACAAAAACCCAACAACAACACCACUAUGAAAUAAGACAGAUGGGAAAAGGAGUGGAGAGAAGCUGAGAAGCCUAACCUAACUAACCUAAGUCUGAGUCCUGGGGCCUGAGCUGGAGACCGUGGUUAGACCUAAUCAUUUCAGAAGAGAGACCCUCGUCUCAGAAGAUGGAAGGGAGAGCCAAUGCCCAAAAGUGCUCCUCUGACCAUCACACAUGCUCGUAAUGCAGACAUGCAUGCACAUCAUCAAAUGGCUAUAAAUGUGAGGCUCUCCAUUUUACGCCAUUGUCCAUUUAACUGUUAGUGCUAAACUGCCUUGAUUACAAUAGCUUAUAGUAAAUCAUAAAAUCAGGGAAAAGAGUACCUAGUCCUUUCUGUUAAGAUCCUCCAUUGUUUCUUUGAUCCUCUUGCUGUCUAUCCUGGCCUCAAAAAUUAACCAAUUAACGGAUUCACUCAGCAUAUACAAUUUAUCUCACACUGACUGUGUACUAUGCACUACAGUGUGCUUGGGAUACUGAAAAACUCAGACAAAUUCCCAUCUCUUUGGUGGGGAAGAUAGAUAAAUAUGUUAACAAAUAAAAAGCAGAAUGUUGGAUGGGCUUUACAUCUGUGAAGAAAAGUGAAGUUGGAUAAGGGGAUACAGCACGGAGAGGAUGGAGUAGGUUCAUGUUAUAUGUGGUGCCAAGGAAGGCUUUUCACCAUCAUCACCAUCACCAACAUCACCACCAUCAUCAUCAGGUGACAAGGCCCAAGUCAUGGCCAGUUGACUUGUGAAUGGAAAAGUGGACAGCAGGCUGGUGGGAGUUAGAGGAAGACACUUGGAACUUCUGAGUUCUAGAUGCUUAUUGGUUAUCUGAGUGGGAUUUUUGUAUGGCCAGUUGGAGCAGGAGCCUGGAGUUCAGGAAGGACAUUGAGGCUGGAAUUAUAUUUUUGGUUGUGAGCCUAGCCUUUAACGGCUGAGCCAUCUCUCCAGACCAAGGCUGGAAUUAUAAACUCAAGAGCCAUUAGUUGUGUGGAAUCAGCUCUGAUGUGAUUACCACAUCAGAGAGGUAGUACUGGCCACGUGGUGUCCAGACUGCCAAUAUUCCUGGGUUAUAGCCACUUAUCUAUAUCACUGACCUUGCAGCUGAAUCUGGGCAGAGUGACCAGUGAUUAGAUUAGUAAUUAAAUCCUUUUAGCAUGGCUAUGGUUGGAAAUCCUUGGUGUGGAAAUCCUUUGGAAUGAUGGGAUUGGGAGCCGCAGCAUGGGAGGGAAUCACAGAUGAAUCUGUGCUGGGGACCUGGCUCCAUUGUGUGUGUGUGGUGCUGGACGUUGUCAACCUUUCAAAGGACUUGACAGUUUUGAAGGAGAAAGAGGAAGGAUGGUCUGGAUCAGCAGUAGGGAACAGGGAUGGGACCCAUCCUACAUCUCUGUAGUCUAGACGACAGUGUUUGACUGUAGUAGCAGCUUAGCAUUGCGAAGAUGCUUGCUAGCUGGCUUCUCUUCAAAGCACACUGGGGAUUGUGGAGCAGAGACUUGUGAAGACUUCAACUUUGAACUCUAGGGCACUGAUGCAGAGUAGAGACCUCCUCGGACGCAGAAUAACCUGUGAACUUGGCCUGAAUUGAUUGAAACCCCCCUUUUCAUGCCUGCCCCAUUCUGGGGUGGAUGCUAACCUAGGGUGUCCCUCAAGGAAGAAAUGCAGUCUAUGCAGAAGAACUCAGCAGCAGAGGUGGGAGCAGAAAAAGAACAAAGGAUGACACAUUCUGUGCUCCCCGUUAACUGAGCUGUUUCCCCUUUGGUCUCAGGGAAGUCUCUAAGUGUGUGGGUGCUGCUCAGGCUUCCACAGAAUUUAGGCCUGGACUUCACAUCACCUUGGUUCUGCUUUUCUUAAAUUUUAACUUAAACGAUGAACUGACAGAAUGGCUCUGAGAGCUAAUUAAUGUAUUAGUGGCCAUUGCUACAAUUGCACUAAAGGACACGACCUUCCCCCAGUUCUCUUGUCAGUUUAUCUUACUUUUAUUUAUAUAACAAGUAUUAGAGCAGUACCUGGCAUGUGAUUAUACACACUCCUGUGCAACCUCGCGCACACACACACACACACACACACUCCAUACAUGCUUUGUGCAUAUAAACUUAUUUAAUCUCCAUAGUGACUCUAGGUGGUAGAAACUACUAUUUUUCUCAGUUUACAGAAAAGAAAACAGGGAGGAGAUUAAAUAUAAUCCACUCAAUCAGCAAGAGGCAGAAUGAGGGUUUGAACUGGGAGGCCUGGUUCCGGGUUUACUUUCUCCAGUUUGCUCUAAGGCCUGCUAGCUUCUUUCC
rnacentral:lncRNA from 1 species